rnacentral:rRNA from 1 species
GACAGAGGAUGCAAGCGUUAUCCGGAAUGAUUGGGCGUAAAGCGUCUGUAGGUGGCUUUUCAAGUCCGCCGUCAAAUCCCAGGGCUCAACCCUGGACAGGCGGUGGAAACUACCAAGCUGGAGUACGGUAGGGGCAGAGGGAAUUUCCGGUGGAGCGGUGAAAUGCGCAGAUAUCGGGAGGAACACCGGUGGCGAAGGCGGUUCUCUGGGCCUGUACUGACGCUGAGGAGCGAAAGCGUGGGGAGCAAACAGG